rfam:Actinobaculum suis strain T311 R9-3-1_contig_32, whole genome shotgun sequence.
GCGGACAUAGCUCAGUUGGUAGAGCGCAACCUUGCCAAGGUUGAGGUCGCGGGUUCGAGCCCCGUUGUCCGCU